rnacentral:lncRNA from 1 species
CUGUGGCUUCAUGGGCUAUCUCCAUUACAAACAUCUCCUCGAAAGAGGUCUCACGCCUCUCAAAGGUGCCUAAACGACCUCCCUUCUUCCACUCCAAAGCAGCCCACAUCGCUUACUUCAUGUGUACUGCAUCCACAGAUGAGAGUGACAUCACGAAUGGAUACCUCGACAUGGCAGUGGAGUGGAUUCCAGGAUUGAAGAACAUGAGACUGAAGGAUCUGCCCACCUUCAUUCGCACGACGGACCCCGACGACAUCAUGCUCAACUACCUCAACCGUGAGGCCCAAAGAGCCUCCAUGGCCAAGGCGGUCAUCAUGAACACCUUCGACGAACUGGAGCAGCCGGUCCUGGAAGCCAUGGCGGCGAUGC